UGGGGUAUUUAUAGAAGGUGAGAAAUGGCUCCAAAAGGCUCUCCAACGGUCAAAUAUUAAAUGCUGUCGAAACUAGCCGUUGGCCUGUCGGACGUCCGACAGCUUAGUCAUCGUCCGAUCCCAUCGUCCAAACCACCUGUCGGACGUCCGAACCCUGCGUCCGAACGUCGUCCAGAGAGUUAUCAAAUUUUCGUGGAAUUUUUAGGACGUCCGACACGAUCGAUGUGCGUCCGAAGAGUGUGUCCGAUCCAUCCGGACGUCCGAUGCUUCCUCACGAGCGUCCGACAGAAUAUCCUUCCUGAUGUUCUUCAUCCUUUCGGACGUCCGAUAGCUUCCUUUCGGACGUCCCACAUGAGUGCCCUGUUUUUGCUUCUUCUUUUGUGCCACAAGAAUCUGUUCUAACAAAUUGCUCACAUAAAAAUAUUAGCCCAAAUCUACAUUUUGGUUUGUUAAUCAUCAAAACCAAGGACUGAUCAACCAAGGUCAACAAUCUCCCCCUUUUUGAUGAUGACAAACAAAAUGAAGAUUUCUUUGAUCAAAUAAGUUCAAAUAAAACUACCCCUUAGAAAAUGCCAACAUACAAAGAAACUUCAAUAAGUCCUACUCCCCUUUUGGCAUCAAUCAAAAAGCCAACUUCCCGUUUAUUUUUCAAGUCAAAACCAUAAUAGGGUCCUUGGGAGUUAUUACAACAUGAUCUAGCAAUCCACAUGGAUUUCAUACCUUUUCUCAUAUUUUUCUUUACAUAGCAAUCAUUUUGCAUAUGUCCAAAUUGGCAACAAAAGUGACACAUGAUAGAAGUAUUUUGCACAUAGGUGGAUUUAAUGCAACUAAUUUUCUUACUUCUUAUCAUAGCAAACUUAUUUGUGCCUUGAAAAGAUUUGCUUUCUUUUGUUUGAGAAAACUUUUGUUUUUCAUUUUGGAGAAACUCGUUCAAGACAUUAAUUCUUUUCUUUAACAAAUUUUGUUCCUCCAACAUUUUUUCAUAAAACUUUGUUUUCUCUUCCAACUUCCUUUUCAAAUUAUUUUUGCAAUCAAAAACACUUUUUUGAUUUUUUAAAUCAUCAUUUUUCAUUCUCAAACAUUUAUUUCUUGAAAAAGUUUGGAAUUUUCUUCCAACAAAUCAUUUAUUUUUGUUUUCAAAUCUUUAUUUUUAGCAUAAGAUUUUCUCAAACUUUUAUGCAUUUUAAUCAUAAGAAUUUUCACAUCAUCAUCUUCAUUAUCUUCAUCACAAGAAGAGUGAUAAGAACUUACCUCAUCUUCUCCAACGGCCAUUAGUGCCAUUUGGGCCAACUCUUCUUUUUCUCUUUUUGAAUUGCAUUCAUCCCAUGUAAUUUUGCAAUCUCCUCUUGAACAUCUCUUGUUGAAGAUCUUUUUGAAACUUUUGAUGUGAGGAGUUAUAUCAUUGUCCACUUCCAUGAUUUCAUUACCCAUGAAGGAUGGGUUAUCCCCCACUUGAGAUGCUUUAAAAGCUAUGCCUCUCUUAUACAUUCUUGCAUUUUCUUCCUCUUGCACUUUGAAUUUCAGCUUUAAUUCAUAAGAGGUUAGGGUAUCCACAAGAGAUUCAAUGGACAUAGAAUUUAAAUCCUUUGCCUCUUCUAUAGCAUUUAUUUUGUUUUCCCAUUCUUUUGGCAAGCAUUCAAAAUCUUUCUAUUUUUCUCACCCAAAGAAUAUUUUUUUCCAAGCAAUUUAAGAUCUUCAAUAAUGUCACAAAAUCUACUACACAUCUUAUCAACAUUUUCAAGAGGAUGCAUUUUGAAAAAUUCAUAUUGAGAAACAAGCAAAGAUUUCUUUUGUUCUUUAAUAUCUUGUUACCUUCAUGAAAUACACACAAUUUAUCCCAAAUAUCUUUAGCUGAUUUACAACCUUUAAUCCUACUAGAUUCAUUUACAUCUAAUGCAUUGUACAAUAUACACAUGGCCUUGGCAUUCAAAGAAAGGUAUCUCUUGUCUUUUUCAUUCAAUUCUUGUCUAGUCUUUAAUCUACUCAAAUUGGUGAUAGAGUCAACUAUUCUAGCUUCAUAAGGACCAUCUUCUACCACAUACCAUAAUUCAAUAUAAACGGAUUGUAAGAAAAUCAUCAUUCUUUGUUUCCACAUGCUAAAAUGAGAACCAUUAAACAUAGGUGGUCUAUCAAUAGAUUGCCCUUCUAAAAAGAAACUUUUAUGGUUGCCAUGAUCUUUACUCUAAGCGGUUAAGCUUGAUCAAAAGAGACCAAGCUCUGAUACCAAUUGUAAGGCCCGGUGCAACCCAAUGAGUACAAACAAUUCACAAUGAUGCACAAAGAUAUAUCAAAUUUAAGCACAAUAAAGAAAACUUAAUUAAAGAGAAAAGAUAAGAAAUGCAAACCAAAUAUCAAUCCAAUAGCCUCUUCAAUUGAUGGCGAUGCUAACCAAGAUGUACAAGUGAAGGCUCACUCCUUCCUCACCCCAAACACUUUGGUUGAGCCAAGGAGUUUUACAACUAUUCUAGUUAACCCUCAACAACCUACACUUGAAAGAUCACUCACCCAAUUAAGAACUAUUUUAUACAAAUGAGGCAACCUUCACCAAGGUUUUACCACUCAAGUGAUAGGUUCACCUUCACCAAGGUUUUACUCCCUAGAGAGUAACCUUCACUUGAGCAACCUCACAACCCAACUUUCCCAACCCCUUAUACAACCAACAAAGAAUCUUUCUACUCAAAAAUCUCACUUGUAAGCUUGUAUUUUGUGUUGGCAAAAGUCUCUGUCUUCUUGUGCUUUGGGGUUUUAUAGAAGGUGAGAAAUGGCUCCAAAAGGCUCUCCAACGGUCAAAUAUUAAAUGCUGUCAAAACUAGCCGUUGGCCUGUCGGACGUCCGACAGGUGUCAUCGUCCGACCAUCGUCCGAACCACCUGUCGGACGUCCGAACCCUGCGUCCGAACGUCGUCAGAGAGUCAUCAAAUCU
rnacentral:lncRNA from 1 species